UCGUGUCGUGAGAUGUUGGGUUAAGUCCCGCAACGAGCGCAACCCUCACCUCUUGUUGCCAUCAGGUCAUGCUGGGCACUCUAGAGGAACUGCCCCGGUCAACGGGGAGGAAGGCGGGGAUAACGUCAAGUCAUCAUGCCCCUUACGUCCUGGGCUACACACGUGCUACAAUGGCCGGUACAAAGGGAUGCCACACCGCGAGGUAGAGCUAAACCCAAAAAGCCGGUCUAAGUUCAGAUUGGAGUCUGCAACUCGACUCCAUGAAGGAGGAAUCGCUAGUAAUCGC
rnacentral:rRNA from 1 species